rnacentral:rRNA from 1 species
UAGCAUAUAAGUAAGCGGGAGGGACAAGAACUAAAACAGGAUCCCCAUAGUAAUGGCGAAUGAACCGGGAUAAACUCAGCAUGGAAAUUGGGGCCUUUGGCUUUGACUUGUAAUCUGGUGAGGCAUUGCCAACAGAGGCGCAUAUGUAAGUCUCUUGGAAAAGAGCAUCAACGAAGGUGAGAGUCCUGAUUGUCAUGUGCAGCCCCCCUGUGCACGGUGUGCCUUCUAAGAGUCACGUUCCUUGGGAUUGGAGCGCAAAUUGGGUGGUAACUUUCAUCUGAAGUUAAACAAUGGUUUGGGACCGAUAGGAAACAAGUACCAUGAGGGAAAGGUGAAAAGGACUUUGGAAAGAGAGUUAAAAGUGCCUGAAAUUGCUGAAGGGGAAGCGAAUGGAACCAGUAGUGCUGGGUGAGAUUGUCACAUGCUACAAGGAUUGGUUGCUGCCACAACGCAAGUGUGAUGGCGAUGUGUGAAUUGCUAGUGUGUGGUGUGUCUUACCUAGUGGGUCAUUGUGGGUUUAUGCAUUAAGAUAAGUCAAAGCAAGUGGGAGCAAGUUUACGAGUUUGUGAAUGUGUGUUGUUAUGCUUGUGCGUAAGCUUUAGUGUUUGUCUGGCUGCAGGGCUGUCCAUCCUCAAGCAGGACUUGUGGUUGCGAUGAGCAUAACCUUCUGCACAGAUCU